UCAACUGGACCCUAAGAGCCUCCAGCAGGACCCUACACCCAUCAACCGGGCCCCAAGAGUCUCCAGCAGGACCCUACACCCAUCAUCCAGACCCUAAAAUCCACCUGCUGGACCCUACACGUACCAGCCAGACCCCAAGAGUCACCAGCGUGACCCUACACCCAUCAACUGGACGCCAAAAGCCUCAAGCUGGACCCUACUCAUGCCAGUUAGAGCCCAAAAGUCACCAGAGGGACCCUACACCCAUCAACUGGACCCCAAAAGCCUCAAGGUGGACUCUACGCCAGCCAGACCCCAAGAGUCACCAGCCAGACCCUACACCCAUCAGCUGGACUCCAAGAGCUGCCAACCUGACCCUUCUCCCACCAGCUGGACCCCAAGAACUACCGGCCAGACCCCACUACUGUCACCCAGACACCAUGAGUUGCCACCCGGACCCCAAAAGGCACCAGCCAGACCCUACACCCAUCAACCACCCCCCAGGACUGCCUGCCAGAGCUGAGGAGCUGCCAGCGGGUCCCCGCUCACCCUGGGUGGCCGCGGUGCCUGCUCCUUCGGGAACACACAAACCUCCCGGCUCCGAUCCCCGCUGCCUCCUCCUCCUGCUCCCAGAGAGCGAGAGUGGCCCUCCUGGGGGGGCAGGGGACCGAGGGGACACUUCUUGUGCCCUGGUUCCUCCCAAAAGUGUGAAGGAAGCAGCAGCCCCCGUUCCCGUGCUGCCCUUGGACUCACCUUGGCUCCCCGAAUGCCGACGCUAAUUUCUCCCGGAGCAGCGUCUCUUUUCCCUCAUGGUCGCUCCGAGAUCCCUUGCUGACCUCCUGCCAGAAGACUGGUGGCUUGUCCCCACUCCCUUGGGGCCAGGGCUGUGUGGCACCAACAGCCCCCAUCCCCUGGGAAGCGCCUCCCUGGGGCAGGAUGGACAAAAGUCCCAGACUUGGUCUUGUGCUGGGAUCCCAUCAGGGCUCUCCCAUCUCUUAAUGUCUCUUAAUUCGUUAAGGAGCUCAGCUCUCGGGUUUGCCGGCUCCUCACCACCUUCUCCUUUACGUUUUGGUUUUGUGCCGGCGAAAAGGGGGUGGUUUAAUGCGAUUACUCCAGUAAAACCCACGUAAGAGGAUUCGUGGGGCUCGGCUUUACAGUGCCGCAGGGGCCAGCGGCAGCGCAUGGCGCGGGGGGACGAGAGAGCCGGCUGGGAAGCAUGAAGAGGCUUUGCAAACCACGGUGUCCCUUGCCCGGGUGACCCCCUGGGACAGAGACCUGCCCCUGGCGUGGCCACUGCUUGUCCCGGCGAGACGAGGAUGUAACAGGGAGCAACCGGGUCACGUGGCCUCACCAGUAUCCCACUGGGAAAGCCAAGGCGGUCGGUCUGUGCUGGGCACCAGCCAGGCGAGAGGCACCAGCUGCACCAUCUGCUGCUCCUCGGGAUGCUGCAGGCACCGGG